ensembl:snoRNA
GUCCUUUUGUAGUUCAUAAGGGUGAUGAUUGGGUUUUGACGCUCAUGUGAGACAUGUCUCCCUUCAACCUUGUUAUGAUGUUGGCACGUUGACCUUCUGAAG